ensembl:lncRNA
CUUUUAAGAAAUCCAGAACUUAUUACUGAUCUGUGUAAAUAGGCAGCUUUGGAAAGGACUCAGUUCAUUCUGAAAUCACAGGGGUUUUCCCUUAAAGGCCUCCUUUUCUGGGGAUGCUGUAAUAUCUAGUAUCACAAGUGAGCACAGCAAGGGCAUGUGACUACUCAUUAGGAGAAUGCUGUGGAAGUUACAAAAGUAGGCAACAACAUACUGGAUUAUGGUUACGCAUGCAACUUUUGAUGUUCUUUUUUACCCCAUGAUAUGAUAUUUGCUUAAACCGCUGUUGACUGGUUUGUAAAGGAGUUAAGUGGUGAUUUGGAAAACUGAGCUUUGUUCAGAAGAGAAACAUGCUAAAAGUUUUCAGCUACUAGAAAAGAAUGAUGUAAAAUACAGCAAGGGAGAUCAAGAUUGGUAUAGAAAACUUCCAGGGAGUUAUGAUGAGCACCUCUUCAAGCUGUCAGCUGUCAGUGGAGUGUUUUCUCUUUCUACUUUGGGGUGGUAUUCCAAACUGGGAGCUACAGGAAAAGGAAGUUAGCUGAAUCUUACCAUUAUCGCUGAGAACCCUUAGAACUGCAACUAAAACUGCGUUGUUGUAUCAUGCCAUUCGAAGGAGAACUGAGUCCAUCUGUAUCCACUAAUUUUUAAAGUCAACAGGCCAGCAGUACCCAGUUAACCGAGAUGUCAACACUGUGGAGUUGUAGGUCAUAUUUCAUCAUCUAGAAGGAUACACUGCUGCCAGGUUUGCAGUUUUCCAUACGUGCACUCACACCUGCAUCUACCGCUUGAUUAAGAAAUACUGUGGUAUCUUCGAUAUCACUGUGUGGUUA